rnacentral:rRNA from 1 species
UACGAAGGGUGCACGCGUUACUCGGAAUUACUGGGCGUAAAGCGUGCGUAGGUGGUGAGUUAAGUCUGUCGUGAAAGCCCCGGGCUCAACCUGGGAAUGGCGAUGGAUACUGGCUCGCUAGAGUGCGGUAGAGGAGAGUGGAAUUCCCGGUGUAGCAGUGAAAUGCGUAGAGAUCGGGAGGAACAUCUGUGGCGAAGGCGGCCAUCUGGACCAGCACUGACACUGAGGCACGAAAGCGUGGGGAGCAAACAGG